UACGCGCAAUUGAAAGCAUACUGUUCGUUUACAGUAUACUAAAAUGAACUAAUAAUAUAUAGUAUUCAGUAUAUACUCAUUAAGUAUGUAGUAUACAGUAUGUUAGUAUGGGUAUUCGAGCACAGCUCUUGUUUUUCAUCAAUGCUCAUUAAGAAGAAAUGCUAGCGGCCAUGACUGAAGGCAAACAAGAAUUGUCUUGGGGGUGUGGUUUGAUGUGGGUGUUUCUUGGAUGUGUUUUUACCAUUCAAUUGCAAUAAACAAGUGCAGUAGUGAAUACGUAAGGUAAGCCAGCUUUGCUGUAGAAAACAAAGUUUUGAAGUUGAGGACUUCUCCCGAUGAACAUUGAUACCAGAGCACGCUCAUUUGGGCUACAGUUUGAAUCACAACGUACCAGAUGAGUGCGGAAUCUGACUUUGGACAUUGAAUUAUUAUAUUAUUUAAAAAAUGUGUUCGAUCAAAACAUUCGGUUUCGGAAGUGAAUGUAGUGGUGCAUCUGCACAUCUGUACUGAGGUAGGCUGUGAGGGUAGCCUGUAAACGAACAUUAUGCUUUCAGUCGUGUGUACUAGCUCUUCACCUGUCAACCGGAAGUUGAUGAUGUUGCUAUGCAACCUCUUGCUAGAUAGUUCGCGUAACAAAUUACUAGUUAGACAUUUUACGACUUCAGGUGUAUUCUUCAAUUCAAUCUGGAGAACCAGAUGGGCAUGGUUUGCACAUUUGGUGCUAUUCCAUUGGUUCUACAGUGCUCGGCAAGCUCAACUAAGUGUAACAAAUACAGCUACCUGUCUUUUGCUCCCCCACCUCCAAGAGUGUUUCUCUAACUGAACGAUGACUGCGCUGGCGGUGAAGGUGGAGUCUGCUCCCGGUCUGAACCCCGGUCAGCUGACCCUGAGCGACCCCGCCUGGGGUCCCACCUACAGCGACGAUCGCUUCCACUUCACUGUGAACUCCUGUGGCACCACCAGGAAGGUUAAAGGUUUCCUGCUACUAUGUGGUUAACAUCACUCGCACAUUGGCCUUCCUGACCAGGCCGCGUGACAACGAGCCUUUUGCAGAGACUGGGACGGGUUAACUAAUGUUCAGAAUGAGACUCGUUCAGGACGUCUCGUAUAACACGUUCCACCAGGAGGAGGACUAUCCAGUGGUGAGGUACCUGAGACAGCCUCUGCACUUUGAGGUGGAGCUGACCACGUCCUCUGACCCCAAGGUAGCGCUGGUGCUUGACCACUGCUGGGCCACCCUCAACGAGGACCGCGACUCCCGACCCCGUUGGAAUCUCAUCAUUAAUGGCAGGUAAGCCAGGAACAAGUUCUCAUACACAACUGCGACCUGGCCAAGGUAAAGCAAAGCAGUGCAAUUCAUUUGCAGUAUGGACGCGGAGGGGUGAACAUCUCCUGCUCUGACUGCAGCUGGAAGGGACUGCUGCGAGAGGACUAGGCCGCCUGUGAGUGCCUUGAUAAGGCGGAGCUUUACCUAGCAUAGACUUACAGAUGACCUGGAACCAGUGGUUCUGGCGACGAGUUACACAUGGAACAAACUAGCGCACAGUCAAUAACAAAAUAGAAGGGAUAAAAAAAAGGCAAUAAAUAUGCCAUAGUACCGAAGUAAUCACAAUUUAGCAAAUGAACACUGGAGUGAUAGAUGAGCAGAUGAUGAUGUGCAAGUAGAAAUACUGGUGUGCAAAAGUGCAGAAAGUAAAUAAAAACAAUAUGGCGAUGAGGUAGGUAGAUUGGGUGGGUGUUGGGGGAAAUUAUAGUUGAAAUUAUUAAUAAUGUAUACAUUUCAAUUAGAACCAUUUAUUCUGAUACUAUUAUGUUAUGAUAUGAAAUGUAUGGGCUCUUGGUUAAGCUGUUACUGAAAAUGUAAGCAAAACUAAUUAAUUGUCUGUACCUCGCGGGGGGUUUAAGGGAGAGGGAUGGGGUGUCUUUUCUGACAGAUAAGAAUGGUCCUUGAUGUACCAUUUGUGGAGGAGAAGAUAUAUUUUAGACAGAUUGGAAUGUCCGGUUUAUGAGGGGAGUAGAAGACAUCUCUGGACCUGAAAACACUGGGCUAUUGUGGGAAUCGGAGAGAGUGUGGGAAACUGAUGAUGUCAUUUUCAGUUUAUAACCUGUGGAAAUAUGUGUAUGUGGUGAGUACUCACUUGAAUUAAACGCUGUUACCUUGC